GUGACAGCCCCGUACACAAAAAUGCACAUAUUGUGAGCUCGAUGAGUAGGGCGGGACACGUGGUAUCCUGUCUGAAUAUGGGGGGACCAUCCUCCAAGGCUAAAUACUCCUGACUGACCGAUAGUGAACCAGUACCGUGAGGGAAAGGCGAAAAGAACCCCGGCGAGGGGAGUGAAAAAGAACCUGAAACCGUGUACGUACAAGCAGUGGGAGCACGCUUAGGCGUGUGACUGCGUACCUUUUGUAUAAUGGGUCAGCGACUUAUAUUCUGUAGCAAGGUUAACCGAAUAGGGGAGCCGAAGGGAAACCGAGUCUUAACUGGGCGUUAAGUUGCAGGGUAUAGACCCGAAACCCGGUGAUCUAGCCAUGGGCAGGUUGAAGGUUGGGUAACACUAACUGGAGGACCGAACCGACUAAUGUUGAAAAAUUAGCGGAUGACUUGUGGCUGGGGGUGAAAGGCCAAUCAAACCGGGAGAUAGCUGGUUCUCCCCGAAAGCUAUUUAGGUAGCGCCUCGUGAAUUCAUCUCCGGGGGUAGAGCACUGUUUCGGCAAGGGGGUCAUCCCGACUUACCAACCCGAUGCAAACUGCGAAUACCGGAGAAUGUUAUCACGGGAGACACACGGCGGGUGCUAACGUCCGUCGUGAAGAGGGAAACAACCCAGACCGCCAGCUAAGGUCCCAAAGUCAUGGUUAAGUGGGAAACGAUGUGGGAAGGCCCAGACAGCCAGGAUGUUGGCUUAGAAGCAGCCAUCAUUUAAAGAAAGCGUAAUAGCUCACUGGUCGAGUCGGCCUGCGCGGAAGAUGUAACGGGGCUAAACCAUGCACCGAAGCUGCGGCAGCGACGCUUAUGCGUUGUUGGGUAGGGGAGCGUUCUGUAAGCCUGCGAAGGUGUGCUGUGAGGCAUGCUGGAGGUAUCAGAAGUGCGAAUGCUGACAUAAGUAACGAUAAAGCGGGUGAAAAGCCCGCUCGCCGGAAGACCAAGGGUUCCUGUCCAACGUUAAUCGGGGCAGGGUGAGUCGACCCCUAAGGCGAGGCCGAAAGGCGUAGUCGAUGGGAAACAGGUUAAUAUUCCUGUACUUGGUGUUACUGCGAAGGGGGGACGGAGAAGGCUAUGUUGGCCGGGCGACGGUUGUCCCGGUUUAAGCGUGUAGGCUGGUUUUCCAGGCAAAUCCGGAAAAUCAAGGCUGAGGCGUGAUGACGAGGCACUACGGUGCUGAAGCAACAAAUGCCCUGCUUCCAGGAAAAGCCUCUAAGCAUCAGGUAACAUCAAAUCGUACCCCAAACCGACACAGGUGGUCAGGUAGAGAAUACCAAGGCGCUUGAGAGAACUCGGGUGAAGGAACUAGGCAAAAUGGUGCCGUAACUUCGGGAGAAGG
rnacentral:rRNA from 1 species